GAGUUUAUGUUAUGAGAACUCACAUGCACAGAUAAGGUGGAAUUUGAAGAGUUUGGUGGUGAAAGAGAUUUGUUUGUAGUACUUGAGUGGAGAUGAACUACUAGACGAAUGAAUGUUGUUUAUUGUAGCUGAGUGGGAAGCAGAAGCCGCUGAGAGGGUUGGUGGGAGUGAGAUGAGUGGAUGCCAGUUGGUUGUUGGUGGAGAGAGAUGAGUGCAGUCAGACGGCCGAUGAAUUUAAGAGACUCGAAAUGGGAAAUAAUUAUCGGCCGGCGUGGGAACACAAUCCUUUGCCGGCGCUUUUGAUUUAGGUGAGAACUGAAAAAAUGAAAUUUCAUUAAUAUCACCAGCGUUUCUUCUAUUUGUGAUUCUGUGCGACGCCACCACUGAUCCAGCAUCCAGCAUCCAGCACUAUUCAGCAGCUCAUCGUCCCAACCACUAAAAGCAGUCUGCUUUUAAAGGUCAUACUCGGAUAGCAUUCUUCGGAUACUCUUCAAAUGUAGUCAUCUGAUGUGAUUUUCGAAAUAUCUUUGUACUUUUUUCUGUUACUUUGAAAUUCCUGGUGAAACAUGACAUGAUAUUUCAGCUCUUUAUAGUUCAAAUUUCCAUUGCCAUUACUUAUUUGAUCUUCAAUCAUUAUCCAUUUAUAUUGUCCAAUAUAGAUCAAAUAGAAUCUUAUGUGAUUAUUCUACCUUAUUCCUGGAAUACAGCUUUGUUGUACAGUAUUUCAAGUGACUUCAUUAAGGCUCAGAAACAUAGAAGAACACACUUUGAUCUGAGUUAGUUAUUGUUUAUAAAAAUCGAUGUAGUGAAUAUCACUGAGUGCCCCCUUUCCUUUCAUAAAUUCUAAACAUGGAAUGCAGUUCGAAUGUUCAACAUUGUCUCGAAGAGCAGUUUUCUUCCACUUGUAAUACCACACUUAAUUAGAAUUCUAUCCCUCAAAUGAAGCACUGAUUUCAACAAUCAAGAUAAUAUUGCAGAGUAAUUGGUUGUGAAUGUUAUGGAGUGCUCUGAAGACCGCAAACACGUUGUUCAAGUGAGUCUACUGAAUGUGCGUGAAUGUGCGUGAAUGUGCGUGAAUGUGCGUGAAUGUGCGUGAAUGUGCGUGAAUGUGCGUGAAUGUGCGUGAAUGUGCGUGAAUGUGCGUGAAUGUGCGUGAAUGUGCGUCAUCUCGUAGCGUGUUUCCGUUAAUUAUCUCGACAGGAAUCCAAGUCAUUCAGCUCAGCAAAUUUAAUUCAAUAACUCCCCCGCAGAAGUGUGCAUGUGAAAUGUAUGAUUGCCGCUGGAAAAUAGCUUGACAUGACGAUCAAACUUGUAAAAUUAUUUUAAGCAUAUCAACAAGAUAGUUUCUGCUGGAUGCAUCCGUAUACAAAAUAAGUUGAAGCUUGAAGCUCCAUCAAUACAACCUAUCCAAGAUCCAUUAAUACCUUCAAUACCAACCAAGAUGAAUUUCCAUCAUACCAUGAAUACCUCCUAAUUAAAUAUGAUUGUUCCUCAAUCCAUUCUGAACUACGGUGUAUUAACAUACGGAUGUAUUGUAGCACAGUACAACGACAUGCAGUCAAUUAUUCAAGAAUAAAUAAGCAAUUUUUUUUUACUUACUGACUGGAGUACUUUCAAACGGCAAGCGUCCAUUUUCAACAGUGAAAUAAUUUACUGCAUGUCAUUGUGUGAAACAUUAGAACCUUAUAAUUAUCGUAUGAUAUUCCAUGUUUCAACAAUUUAAAAAAUUCAAUUUGAAGAAUUCAUGGAUCGAUUUUCCAGAAUCAGAGCAUUCAGUUUAUACCUAAGACUUGCUUGUUAUAGAGCUUCUUCCAGCCUAUUCAUGCCAGUUAUGCGUUCUUAUGAAAGCCACUCGUCUAUUUAGGAAGACGAGCGAUAACAGCUGCUCGCUUUUUUGGGGUGAGAGGCCUCAGCAAUUCAGUUGCCUAUCAACCUUGUGAAGGCCCAUCUGCAGGAAGUUCAACCUUCAACCCCGUCCAUACAAGUACAAGUUCUUCAACGCUUUAUCCAAGAAGUGCAAGUAAGGUUUCUUACAUGCUGUUACUUGAAGUGAAGUGGAAUUGUCAUGUGCAACAUAAUGUAUUGAUUAGUAUGUUCAAUGAAUUUCAAUUCCUGAGUACAGAGGCAAGUCUCAAGUGAACCAAAUUUGAAGUUGAACUAUGAGUAGAUGGUAGAUAAGGAGUAUCUUAAGAUAGUUCCCUAAUAUGAAAGCAAGCAUAUUGAAGACAAUAAGACUUCUAAUUAUUAAUUUUUGGAUCAUUUUCUUCCUUCGAAUUCCAAAAUAAAUGAGUUCUAUAGCAUGUUGUAUUCUAUGGGAAAGAUUGAUGAUUAGACAUAGAUGUAUAUUGUCAAAUAGAAGACGAAAACCCGUGACAGAUAUGGUCACGUAUCAACUCAACUCAACCACCUGACAACAACUGACAAGUAAAGCAUCGUAUGGAGAGCUGACAGAUAAAUGCGUUUUGUUGACUGAUUUCGAUAUGGUCGUUUCAAAUCGUGCGUCACCGAUGUCUCUCUAGAUGAGUUAUUCCAUGUCUGAAUGCCUCAUGACAGUAUCAAAAUUCAACCCUCAACAGCAUUUUAUACUAUUUUCUAUCGAGAUUGUUCAUUGGGAAGAUAAAUUGGGAAAAGUUUUUGCAACGAAACUGAAAAGCUACCUAUCUUUAAAGAACUAAUGAAGAGUUCUGAUAAUGUGAAGCAUACUUAACAAUCAUGGUAGUCGUGGGUUAAAACUAAUUAUGUUGAAAAUAAUUCGUUUUUUAGUGAACAAUCUUGAGAUUCUAAUUUUUACUAGUCAUCAUAAUAUUAUCUCAGAAUUGUCAAUAAGUGAUUUUUUGAUACGAUGAAAGACUUGGUUGGGUAAUCAGUAUCUCAAUUUAUCAUAUUUCAAUUAUAAUUUUCAAUUUAUUAGACUAAUAUAACAUUUUUAGUAUUUCCAAAUUUGUAGCCAUCGUACGAUCAUGCAUAAUUUUUAUCUUUCCAUAAGUAAUAAUAGUUCCAAAUUAUAAUUAUGUUCCUUGCUUUUUCGAAUAGGCCAAUAGAUAUACCAAUAAAUAAUAUAUAAAUGAACGAAUCUAGUUAUAAUUAUCUGUGGUAACAUACUUUUGGUUAAUUUCUCCUUCUCUGCUUAUUGCGAAUACACUUCUCGGUUUUGGACUCACAGCAGAAUCUUGUUACAUGAUGAUCUUUUCAUUGUGGAAUUAUUUAUAAAGCAACCUAUAAGUUCUAUUAAUAAACAGACUCUACUCAUA